AGGACAACCCGGGGAACUGAAACAUCUAAGUACCCGGAGGAGAGGAAAUCAAUCUCGAGACUCCCCGAGUAGCGGCGAGCGAAAGGGGACCGAUGGCCAAACCGUCGAGCGGGCAUACCCGGCAGGGGUUCCGCCGACGGGGUUGCAGGGCCGCGCAUCCGGGGGCUGCCGCCCCCGGGCGCAGGUCCGGCUGGGGAGCGGAACGGCAUGGGAGGGCCGGCCGCAGCGGGUGACAGCCCCGUACGCGAACCCAGACCGGACGGCGCGACGCGGUCCCUGAGUAGGGCCGGGCACGUGAAACCCGGUCCGAACCUGGGUGGACCACCAUCCAAGCCUGAGUACUACCCUGUGACCGAUAGCGCACCAGUACCGUGAGGGAAAGGUGAAAAGCACCCCGGGAGGGGAGUGAAACAGUACCUGAAACCGUGCGCCCACGAGCAGUCGGAGCAACUUUAUGUUGUGACGGCGUGCCUUUUGUAGAAUGAGCCAGCGAGUCGCUGGCGCGGGGCGAGGUUAACCGAAAGGGAGCCGGAGCGAAAGCGAGCCUUAACAGGGCGACUUGAGUCCCGCGCCGCGGACGCGAAGCCGGGUGAGCUAUCCGUGGGCAGGCUGAAGCGGGGGUAAGACCCCGUGGAGGGCCGAACGCACGUCGGUUGAAAACGGCGGCGAUGACCUGCGGAUAGGGGUGAAAGGCCAAUCAAACCCGGAGAUAUCUCGUUCUCCCCGAAAUAGCUUUAGGGCUAGCGUCGCGCGUUCACCGCCGGAGGUAGAGCACCGGAUGGACGAGGGGGCUUCGCCGCCUACCGAAUCCAACCGAACUCCGAAUGCCGGCGGCCCAGAGCGCGGCAGUCAGAGCAUGUGGGCUAAGCUGUGUGCUCGAGAGGGAAACAGCCCGGACCGCCCGCUAAGGUCCCCAAGUUCCAGCCGAGUGGCAAAGGAUGUGCGUCCGCCCAGACAACCAGGAUGUUGGCUUAGAAGCAGCCAUCCAUUCAAAGAGUGCGUAACAGCUCACUGGUCGAGUGGACAUGCGCCGACAAUACACGGGGCUAAGCUGGACACCGAAGCGGCGGGAUUUUAAUUCAUUAGAAUCGGUAGGGGAGCUUCCCAUGGGCGGAGAAGCCGGAGGGCGACCGACGGUGGAGCGCAUGGGAGUGAGAAUGCUGGCAUGAGUAGCGAGAGACGAGAGAGUAACUCGUCCGCCGUGAACCCGAGGUUUCCUGGGCAAGGCUAAUCCUCCCAGGGUCAGUCGGGGGCUAAGGCGAGGCCGGGAGGCGUAGCCGACGCGCAGCAGGCAGACAUUCCUGCACCGCGCACGCGGCGCUACGACCGACGGGGCGACGGAUGGGGGUGGCUCGGCGGGGUUCUGGACGUCCCCGUGAUGGAGCGCGGCCCGCGGACCAGGGAAAUCCGGUCCGCAUUGAGGGCGAGGCUCCGGACGAAGCGACUGAGCGAAGCGAGUGAGCCCGAGGUCCCUAGAAAAACCCCUAGGCAGGCGCGUGCGCGCCCGUACCGCAAACCGACACAGGUGGGUGGGUAGAACAUACCGAGGCGAUCGGGUCAACCAUGGUCAAGGAACUCGGCACAAUGGCCCCGUAACUUCGGGAGAAGGGGUGCCCGCGCGUACGUGAACCGGCUUGCCCGGGGAGCGGAGGCGGGCCGCAGUGGAGAGGCCCAAGCGACUGUUUACCAAAAACACAGGACUCUGCAGAAGCCGCAAGGCGACGUAUAGGGUCUGACGCCUGCCCGGUGCCGGAAGGUCACGCGGAGGAGUUAGCCAUUUCGGCGAAGCCCCGAAGCCAAGCCCCGGUAAACGGCGGCCGUAACUAUAACGGUCCUAAGGUAGCGAAAUUCCUUGUCGGGU
rnacentral:rRNA from 1 species